AUGCCUUCCUUUCAGAGCGAAGAUGCUGGUGUUCCCCAUCCUGCUGUUCUCACUUCUCCAGGACCGAGGCCCCGUGGAGGGAACCAAGAUCCUAGACCAUCCCUUAGACAUGAACUGGUUCAUACCUUGCCAGCUGCAUCUCCCUUGCUUCUUCCAGGACAGAGUGGGUUGAAAGAGCCAGCAGGAACUGAAAAGCAUUGUAAACUAAGGAGGAAAAGUAACAAAGAGCUUGAAGACUUUCAUGGAGCCCAGGCCCUGGACGGAGGCAGGCGACAUCAGAGAACCAAGAAAGCUGAGGGGCAGCCAGGAGGCACCUGUGGCUGCAGAGCCCAGACUUGUCUUUGGAAAAGACGCAGAAGAGCCAGUAAACUUGGCUUCCUCACUUUGGCUCCUCAUGUGAGUAUAACUUAUAUUUCUAACUAUUAUGCAAGUGUCAUUAAAUAG
rnacentral:lncRNA from 1 species